UNCACUGAGCUUCCUCCACAGAGGCCUGU
rnacentral:piRNA from 1 species